AUUUUUAUUCUUGAAGUGAAGUGAGGACUUGUUUACAGAAUCACCCAGUGGCUUUCAUUGGAGAUUCAAGAACAAGAGGCUUGUACUAUGAACUGGUGGAGAUAGUCAGGUUAAAUGCAGUCACAGAUCCAGGAAAAGCACAUAGUAAUCUGUCUUACAUUGACAAGAUGAGCAAUACAAGUGUGUUCUUUCACUGGCAACCUGAAGUUAACUUGUCUAUGAAGGCACUGUAUGAUGGGUGGAUCAAG